rnacentral:rRNA from 1 species
GUCUUUUUGAUAAUAAUUUAAGGUCUAGCCUGCCCACUGAGUAUUUAAAUGGCCGCAGUAUUUUGACUGUGCAAAGGUAGCAUAAUCAUUAGUUUUUUAAUUAAGAACUGGAAUGAAAGGUUGAACGAGAAAAUAACUGUCUCUUUGUGAAUUAUUUAGAAUUUUAUUUUUAAGUUAAAAAGCUUAAGUAAUAUUAAAAGACGAGAAGACCCUAUAGAGUUUUAUAUAGUGAAAAUUAUUAUUAUAAUUAGUAAUGAUUUAAAUAUUGAUUUUUAUUAUAUUUGAUUGGGGAGAUUGAAAAAUUUAAUGAACUUUUUUUAUAAUAAAACAUUGAUUUAUGAUUUAUUGAUCCAUUAAUAGUGAUUAUAAGAUUUAAUUACCUUAGGGAUAACAGCGUUAUUUCUUUAGAGAGUUCUAAUCGAUAAAGGAGAUUGCGACCUCGAUGUUGGAUUAAAAUUAAGUUUUGGUGUAGAAGCUAAAAAAAUUUAGGUCUGUUCGACCUUUAAAAUUUUACA